AGCAGGAGGAGGCCCCCUCCCGACAGAGGCCGCCCUUCCCAGGGGACCCCGGUGGCCCUCCCUCCCUCUGCUCCCGCUACAGUUCAGGAAAAAGUCGAGGGAAACUCUGGCCUGCAAAGUGAAAUCCAAAUUCUUUCACUUGGUGAUACAGGGGGCCUCCCAUCUUAUCCCAGUGUGUCACAAGUUCCCUUCAAACAGUGUGAGGGAGCCACUGCACCCGGCCUCACAGUUCAUUUUUUUCAGCAAAACUUCAGAGUGCAAAGGGAUUUUUCCUUGGCCCAUUCACUGUCUUCUUGGUGGGAAGGAGGAACUCACUAGAGAGGUGUUUGGUUCUUCUCAAAGGGAGGUAAGAGCCCACCUCUUUGCAUUACUGUCACUCAU